rnacentral:tRNA from 1 species
GGAGAAGUGGGAGAGUGGUUGAAUCCGCGCCCCUGCUAAGGGUGUGUAGAAGCAAUUCUACCGAGGGUUCGAAUCCCUCCUUCUCCACCA